rnacentral:rRNA from 1 species
GACGAACGCUGGCGGCGUACCUAAUACAUGCAAGUCGAGCGGACUUUCAAGAAGCUUGCUUUUUGAAGGUUAGCGGCGGACGGGUGAGUAACACGUGGGCAACCUGCCUGUAAGACGGGGAUAACUCCGGGAAACCGGGGCUAAUACCGGAUAAUAUCUUUCUUCGCAUGAAGGAAGGUUGAAAGGCGGCGCAAGCUGCCGCUUGCAGAUGGGCCCGCGGCGCAUUAGCUAGUUGGUGAGGUAACGGCGCACCAAGGCGACGAGGCGUAGCCGACCUGGAAGGGUGAUGGGCCACACUGGGACUGAGACACGGCCCAGACUCCCACGGGAGGCAGCAGUAGGGAAUCUUCCUCAAUGGACGAAAGUCUGACGGAGCAACGCCGCGUGAGCGAAGAAGGUCUUCGGAUCGUAAAGCUCUGUUGUCAGGGAAGAACAAGUACCGUUCGAAUAGGGCGGUACCUUGACGGUACCUGACCAGAAAGCCACGGCUAACUACGUGCCAGCCGCCGCCGUAA